GUGCACGUUCGAUCGGGAUACUCAUCAAUUAAAUCGUGAAAACCGGGUCGCAUUCUUUUGCCAAUGGCGGGCCAUUAACCAAGCACAUUUAUGCCGAUGGAUUACAACGGCGGAGAGCACCCACAACCUGUGAUAAAGGAGUUUUCAUCACAUCACCUGUGCGUCCC
rnacentral:sRNA from 1 species